rnacentral:misc_RNA from 1 species
AACGCACAUUGCGCCCCCUGGCACUCCGGGGGGCAUGCCUGCCUGAGCGCCAUCGCACCUCACCUCGGGACCCGUCCCGGUGAUGGGGAGGGCCAACCUCACUGUAGGUUGGCCGCCCCAAAGUCGAUCGGACUGCGCCAGGGAUGGCGGUGGAACGUGGUUGAUGUCCCUUGUUGGCAGCUCACGUCCGUGCCGUGUACCCCAGCAGCAACGCGUCCGGGUGGCCCUCGUGCCGCCGGCAUACCUGCCACGCCUCGUCUCCACGAUGAGUGCGUGCGCACACCAGCACCUUUGGCCUCAGGUCAGGCAGGGAUACCCGCUGAACUUAA